AUCUAGCUGAAGAGUUCUAGAAUCGGACGAAAUACAAGUCCUGGAU
rfam:Schistosoma haematobium scaffold2208_12, whole genome shotgun sequence.